rnacentral:rRNA from 1 species
AUUGAACGCUGGCGGCAUGCCUUACACAUGCAAGUCGAACGGCAGCACGGGGGCAACCCUGGUGGCGAGUGGCGAACGGGUGAGUAAUGCAUCGGAACGUGCCCAGUAGUGGGGGAUCACCCGGCGAAAGCCGGGCUAAUACCGCAUACGACCCAAGGGUGAAAGCGGGGGACCGUAAGGCCUCGCGCUCUUGGAGCGGCCGACGUCUGAUUAGCUAGUUGGCGGGGUAAGAGACCACCAAGGCGACGAUCAGUAGCUGGUCUGAGAGGACGACCAGCCACACUGGGACUGAGACACGGCCCAGACUCCUACGGGAGGCAGCAGUGGGGAAUUUUGGACAAUGGGCGCAAGCCUGAUCCAGCCAUGCCGCGUGCGGGAAGAAGGCCUUCGGGUUGUAAACCGCUUUUGGCAGGAACGAAACGGCGCAAGCCAAUACCUUGCGCUAAUGACGGUACCUGCAGAAUAAGCACCGGCUAACUACGUGCCAGCCGCCGCAGUAAAAC